rnacentral:lncRNA from 1 species
CUAACAGUUCCAUCCUUUCCCACACGAGCUUCUUUCCACAAAACAUGUGGCGGAAGUGAUGUUGCGUCACUUUUCGUCUCGUCUAACUACGCAUUGACAAAAUAAUAAGAUAAUCAAUUAUAACACAUUGAGACAAUUAAUAAGAUCGUAGCAUUUUUGUAUACUUACAAUUUUUUCCUCUAAGCGUGCAUAUCCAAACGGCCCUUUUUUGUAUGCAUACGUGGGAUGACCUUGCUCUCUGCGAUUUGUGGCACUCACUUUCUUGAAAUUUUCGUCUCUUCUUUGGGCUACAAAAGCAACCCAUUCUUCUUCUGUAAUGAAGAUCGCAUACUUCACUGGAUAUUCCGGAUCAUAUUCAACAAAAAAUUUUCUUUGUCCUU